GUCACUUUGCCGGAGUGGUUAACGGGAUCGCCUGCUAUUCAUCUCACGUUAAAGCGGUGGGAAUCGAACAGUCAAGCGGUUGGGCUUUGCCCGCGGGUGUUCGAAUCGCCCAGGUGACG